UGUUACUUCAACAGGGGUGAAAUCUGCAUAUACCAUGAAUUUUUUGGUUAAAGUACCUUUUAGGUGGUCAAAUGACUAGGAUUAGAUACCCUAUUAGUCCACUCUUAAUUAACCUGGGUAGUAGUAUCGAAACCUAAAGAAUUUGGCGGUUUCUAAACCUACUAGAGGAACCUGCCCCAUAAACGACAAUCCACGAAAAAAUUCACCCGGGCUAGUUAUGCAGCUUAUAUACCGUCGUUUAGAGGACUAAAUAAAUAGAUCCUCUUAAAAGCUUAGGCUAAUAAAUCAGAUCAAGGUGUAGCUCAUGCCCGGGAGAGGGUGGGUUACAAUGAAAAUUUAUACGGAGCUUUUAUUUUAUGAUAGAAAAGAAGGUGGAUUUAGAAGUAAGACUUAAUAUACUGAAAAAGGCUCUCAGAAAUGUACACAUCGCCCGUCGCUCUCUUGUCCGAAGAGAUAAGUCGUAACAAAGUAGGUGGACCGGAAGGUCUAUCUCGAAAGA
rnacentral:rRNA from 1 species